UAGGGAAUCUUCCACAAUGGGCGAAAGCCUGAUGGAGCAACGCCGCGUGUGUGAUGAAGGCUUUAGGGUCGUAAAGCACUGUUGUAUGGGAAGAAAUGCUAGAAUAGGGAAUGAUUCUAGUUCGACGGUACCAUACCAGAAAGGGACGGCUAAAUACGUGCCAGCAGCCGCGGUAAUACGUAUGUCCCGAGCGUUAUCCGGAUUUAUUGGGCGUAAAGCGAGCGCAGACGGUUGAUUAAGUCUGAUGUGAAAGUCCGGAGCUCAACUCCGGAAUGGCAUUGGAAACUGGUUAACUUGAGUGUUGUAGAGGUAAGUGGAACUCCAUGUGUAGCGGUGGAAUGCGUAGAUAUAUGGAAGAACACCAGUGGCGAAGGCGGCUUACUGGACAACAACUGACGUUGAGGCUCGAAAGUGUGGGUAGCAAACAGGAUUAGAUACCCUGGUAGUCCACACCGUAAACGAUGAAUACUAGGUGUUAGGAGGUUUCCGCCUCUUAGUGCCGAAGCUAACGCAUUAAGUAUUCCGCCUGGGGAGUACGACCGCAAGGUUG
rnacentral:rRNA from 1 species